GUGAGUCAUCGAAUCUUUGAACGCAUCUUGCGCUCCUUGGUAUUCCGAGGAGCAUGCCUGUUUGAGUGUCGUGAAAUCAUGUCAAUUUCAAUCUUUUUGUUUGAAAUUGGAUGUGGAUGCUGUUGCGUUACGCAACUCAUCCUAAAUGCAUUAGCGGUCUGCCUUGAUCACGUUACAAUGUGAUAAGAAAAAGCAUUGUUGAGAUCGAGUCAAGGUUGCUUCUAACAGUCGAAAGACAUAGCAUAUAAUGCCAUUUGACCUCAAAUCAGGUAGGAUUACCCGCUGAACUUAAGCAUAUCAAUAAGCGGAGGA
rnacentral:misc_RNA from 1 species